rnacentral:lncRNA from 1 species
UAAAAGCUUAGGGUGGAGAUAAUGCCACGACACUGAUUGUUAAUGCCACGACUACAUAUGUGAAAUUCCACUUUUACCCAACUAAACUACUCAUGGCUGCUUUAAAUGACUUUGACAGUUUGAGUGACAUUUACUCUAUUAUCCUUUAAUUUCUCUCUCAUACUUUACUUCCCUAUUUGGCGCGCUCUCUCUCUCUCUCUCCCUCUCUUAAUUCUUUUUGUCAUCCCUACGCCCCAGGCCUAAAUUCACAGCCACAGCGAAGAGGAGUUUCUGGCCAUGCUAUAGGGCAGUAGGUGUUGUUGGCCGCCUGCGAUAUUUGAAGAGAUUGAAAUUGAGGAGAAGAAUGAAUCAAAUAACGGUGGUUCGAUCUCCCUUAUUAGAUUCAGUUCACUGAUGGUUAGGGUGGGUGGUGGGUUUAAUUUUUCCAGACGAGAGACUCAGAGAAGGGAUCGAUGACAACCAAUCUCCAUGGUAGCCUGGAACAGUAUGGACGUGGUGGGUCAUUGUCGUUUGGUAGAGGGAGAGGGAGAGGAUCGUGUUCGACCCCAAGAGACGCCACAGGUACGAGCUGCACUGCAUGUGUAAUCUGGGCUUUUCCCUAGCCUUCUGUUUGUUUGGUUGUUUCACUGUAGCUACUUGACCCAUUAGGUCCCAUGAAGGCAUGAACAACAACAAUGACGAGGACCUUCGAUUCCGCUGAGCCUCACCUCCUCUGGUGGACACAUGAGCCUUGCUAGGGCAUAGACCUCCGUCGAGUUGUCGUUGUAUAAAGCAAGCUCGGACGUCCUCUACUCCGAAACUCGGUGCAGAAACUAUCAAACCCGUGCACUGUUCGAGUUAAUUAAGGUCAUUGUUACUUCUGAGGUAUCGUUGUAUAGUAUGUUACAAAAAAUAACCGCGCUAGAGCUUAGACGAGAGGGGACGGUCGACGGCAAUCCUAGGGAUGUCAAGAGACAGGAAGUUACUUGCGCGUCGAAAUUUCUUCUGACAGCCACAUAUCAGGAUGGGGAUGUCGGCGGCAUGAUGAUAAGCUUCCAGUUAGGCCUAGGAGCAUUGUUGGGUCAGUCACCUACUCACUAACACAACGGUCUGCGCUUACGAAUACGUGUUGAGCUGCAGUCUGUCUAGUGACAAGACAACUAACGAGUCAAGACACGCGCCGAGCUGUGUCAUAUAGUUGCAACCUUUAUCUUUCUAAAAGGUAUACGAACUUUGGGCGGAGAAAUACACACACUCUCUCUCUACAUAGACUUUUUGGUCAUCUAACUUGAUCGUCGAAAAAUUAUUUUUCAGAAACAGCUUCAGAGGUCGUUCUUACUAUUUUUGUGUCGUAGUUAGGCAUAUUGUUGACUAGUGAUUGACUGCAACAACUUCUUAUUUUGUAAACUCACUCCUCAUAAUUGGCGCUGUUUGUGAGAAAUCGAUUAUAGACAUUUGCAAGGCUAGUUCUGAUGGCAUCACAAAGCAGCAAUUAUUCCGAUUGUCGAGAAACUCGUAGGAGACCCCUCAUGCACCCAAAACUCCUGGGGAAAAUUGCUGGAUGAUGUCCAAAGGACGGCCAGGGCCGCCAUUAAGCAAAAUUCAGGUCAGUUGCUCCCUAGAGAAGGAGAAAGCCGUGACAUAACCAUCCAACGCCUACAAAACCAGUUGGCUGAAAUAGCACAAAUCUUGGUUGACAACAAGUUGAUGAAGCCGACUUAAGCAGUAGAGGUAGAACCAUUUGAAGACAGGACCAAAGUACUAAACGGGCGAGUCAAAAUAGAAGGCAGCAUAGAUCUCAUGUCAUCCUAUACAAUUAAAGCGAUAGAAAAUCCGUUAUGUUGAGCAAGCGGAGAGUAUCGCCCAGACGAACUCCCUCCAAUACGAAUCUCUGUGAGAUUCUUCACGCCAAGCGUAAUUGAGAAUGGGAUCUACGCGAUAAGCUUAACAGCCGAACUGUCGCGACAUCGGGCAAAGACAUCAUCCCAAAGGGGUCAGCAACUCGAACAACUAGGCCCAAGCCAAGAAAAUCAGUCCCGAGAUAUCAGGUAUCAUUCUCCUGAGACAUCAAAGGAAUGGAUCCACUAGAGAAAUUUACGCCACCAUGGUUCACACUAUAAGACGGGAGGUCAGACCCAAGAUCCCACAUCAGUCAUGUCAGACAGAUGAUGGCGUUUUGAAAUCACUUGGACGCACUGAUGUGUCAGGUGUUUCCAUCGAGCCAAGGUGCUCUUGGAUUGAAAUGUUUGAAUGGCUUCCUAUCAGAUCAACUGAAAGCUUUCACCAGCUCAACGAGUCAUUUGUAACUCGGUUAUUAUAAACGCCAAAGCACCAAAGGGUGUUGGCUCUCUUUUGACACUCAUAAAGGGUCAGAAUGAAUCACUCUGCAACUACAAUAAGCAUUAUUGAAAGACUUAUAACUAAAUCGAAAAAUAUUCGAAGAAGUUAGUAGUGACCAACUAUAAGCUCGGGCUAACUCCUGGUGAAAGGAUUUGGGAAAACCUGACGCUCAACCCUCCAG